UAAGAAAAUAAUUGAGUAAAUUACAUAACGAGUUUACAACGAUGAAGUGAGCUAAUGAAGAACACUUAGAGCUGGGGGUUGUCCAGUUUUACAUAUUUCACUUGAUAAAUAAAGAAAAAAUUACGCGAUAGAGCAAACUAAGUCCUAUUUACCUGAAACAGCGAUAGUUUUACAUAUUUCACUUGAUAAAUAAAGAAAAAAUUACACGAUAGAGCAAACUAAGUCCUUCUAUUUACCUGAAACAGUGAUAGUUUUACAAUAUUACGAUAUGUAGGAAUCACAAGAACCUGGAGAACGAAAUUGAAAAUUUGAAG
rnacentral:lncRNA from 1 species